UGGAUCAAUGAUGACCUCUUCUUGCGUAUGAGUCAUGGAUCAUGACUACAGGUCUGGAAGUCUGAGUUCCAC
ensembl:snoRNA